rnacentral:lncRNA from 1 species
AAAAAACGACAACAAAGGGAAAAAAAAACAGGAUAUCCAGAUCAUUAAUGUAAAUGAAAAUCUACGCAUUCUUAGACAUAUUUACGAAUCUACGUUCUUUUAGUAAAUUAAAAGAAAAAGAAAAAGUUAACGGUGAGAUUACGUGCAUAGAUAUAUAGAUUCUUUUAGUAACCGAAAAAAAGAAACAGUUAACGGUAGUAUUACGUUGACAUAAAUGUGUGUUCUAGCAAAUUAAUGAAUGAACUACGUGCAUGGUUAGUUAUGUUUUUCUUUAUUAAAACCCCAUUAAAAGUCAAAACUUUUUUUUCAAAUAAAAAUAUCAGAGAUGUACAUAAUAACAAUCAUUUGGAUAUUGAUCGAUUAGAGGAUUGAUGGAUUAGUUGUUUUUCAUAAACAAUUGAAAAAAAAAGGGCAACAAAGAGAAAAGAGAGUAUACAUAUCUAGCUAGAUCAUUUUGCUAAAUGUAAAUGAAAAUCUACACAUUCUUGUGGAGAUAUUUACAGUCAUCAUAUUAUUUACUCGUCAAAAUUCAAAUUAGCUUGGAUUGUGAAGUGUGCUUUGUUCCUAUGUGCAUAUCUAUGAUGGCUAAAUCUUCGUAAAAAACGAUUUUUCAGGUAACUUGUGAUUGGAUUAUUGAUGAGAAUAAAUAUGACAUUUCGGAUAGUCCUUAUUUUUUUCUUUACGACAUAAAAAAAAGAGGUUAAGCAUGCGACUACGUGCAUGGAUAUCUACAUACUUGUAAUAAAGAAAGAAAGAAACAAAAUGUCAAUGAUGAAAUUAUGUGCAUGAAUAUCUAUGUUCUUUUAGUAACCGAAAAAAGAAACAUUAACGGUGGUAUUACGUGCACGAAUACGUGUGUCCUUUUAGCAAGUUAAUGAAUGGAUCAUGUGCAUGGUUAGUUAUUGUGAAAUCCCGUUUCUGGAUUUCACUAUUAUAAUCUACGUAUUCGUAUUAUUGAGAAUUUAUAUCAUUUUUCGAGAAUUUAUACUAAUUUAUUUGAAUUUAGAUUUUUAUUAAACUAGUUACGAAGUUUGAAGUUUGGAAAUUAAUUAUUUAAAAAUCGUAGACCCUUCAGGGUCACAAUUUAUAUUUUUGGAUAGAACUCGACUCUACAAGCGCGUAUGCGAAAACCGUUUGUGAAUCGGAGUUAAUAAAGAAAGAAAGAAAAAGUUAAUGAUGAAAUUAUGUGCAUGCAUAUGUAUGUUAUUUUAGUAACCGAAAAAGGAAACAUUAACGGUGGUAUUAUGUGCACGAAUACGUGUGUUCUUUAAGCAAGUUAAUGAAUGGAUCACGUGCAUGGUUAGUUAUUGUGAAAUCCCGUUUCUAUAUUUCACUAGUAUAAUCUACGUAUUUGUAUUAUUGAGAAUUUAUAUCAUUUUUAAGAAUUUAUACUAAUUUAUUUGAAUUUAUAUUUUUAU